rnacentral:rRNA from 1 species
GGGAUAACCUCGGGAAACUGGGGAUAAUACCCCAUAGACUAUGGAUGCUGGAAUGCUUCGUAGUUGAAAGGUCCGCCGCUUCAGGAUGGGUCUGCGGCCGAUUAGGUUGUUGUUGGGGUAACGGCCCAACAAGCCUGUAAUCGGUACGGGUUGUGGGAGCAAGAGCCCGGAGAUGGAUUCUGAGACACGAAUCCAGGCCCUACGGGGCGCAGCAGGCGCGAAAACUUUACAAUGCGAGCAAUCGUGAUAAGGGAACUCCGAGUGCCUGUAAAAUCAGGCUGUCCGCCAGUGUAAAUAACUGGUGAAGAAAGGGCCGGGCAAGACCGGUGCCAGCCGCCGCGGUAAUACCGGCGGCUCGAGUGGUGGCCACUAUUACUGGGCUUAAAGCGUUCGUAGCUGGUCUGUUAAGUCUCUGGGGAAUCUUCCGGCUUAACCGGAAGGCGUCUCAGGGAUACUGGCAGACUAGGGACCGGAAGAGGUGAGAGGUACUCCAGGGGUAGGAGUGAAAUCCUGUAAUCCUUGGGGGACCACCUGUGGCGAAGGCGUCUCACCAGGACGGCUCCGACAGUGAGGAACGAAAGCUGGGGGAGCAAACCGGAUUAGAUACCCGGGUAGUCCCAGCUGUAAACGAUGCGCGUUAGGUGUAUCGGUGACCACGAGUCACCGAGGUGCCGAAGAGAAAUCGUGAAACGCGCCGCCUGGGAAGUACGGUCGCAAGGCUGAAACUUAAAGGAAUUGGCGGGGGAGCACCACAACGGGUGGAGCCUGCGGUUUAAUCGGACUCAACGCCGGGAAACUCACCGGACAAGACAGCUGAAUGAUAGUCGGGCUGAAGACUCUACUUGACUAGCUGAGAGGAGGUGCAUGGCCGUCGUCAGUUCGUACUGUGAAGCAUCCUGUUGAGUCAGGCAACGAGCGAGACCCACGCCAACAGUUGCUAGCUCGUCCUCCGGGAUGGAGAGGACACUGUUGGGACCGCCUCUGCUAAAGAGGAGGAAGGAAUGGGCAACGGUAGGUCAGCAUGCCCCGAAUUGUCCGGGCUACACGCGGGCUACAAUGGGUGGGACAAUGGGUAUCGACACCGAAAGGUGAAGGCAAUCUCCUAAACCCAUCCUUAGUUCGGAUCGAGGGCUGUAACUCGC